AGGAGAAGUUUGUGCGCUCUGUGGGCAGAGGACACGUGGAAGGGCCGGGCUGCAGGCCGGGAGGGGCGAGGCGCUUCGCCCCGCUCCGAAAAGCGACGGCGGAGACAAAGAUAGACGCGCACGCAGCUCCUGAAGGACUGCGGCACAGAAAAGUGAGAAAGCUGACAGUUUCCAAAGGGUCUUAAGAAGAUCUCUUGCAGCUGGGACAGACCUCUGAAAUAAAGGUUAGAAUUUCAA